CCUUUAACUCAUCUUGUAUAUCAAGCAAUUGAAUAGAAUGUCACUCACUUCUUAUACACAGGCAUGAUAUAUUUUAGUUCCACAAAUCUAUCAACAAGCUUUCAUCUUUCAUAUAUAUAUAUAUAUAUAUAUAUAUAUAUAUAAGCUUAUGUAUAUUUUACUAAAUCAGCAGCCCAUGUUAAAGAAACACAUACAUGAAUUUAUGGAAUAGCUUUUCACAAGUUUUACAUAUACACAAAUGCUUUUAAGAAAAACUGUAUUAGUAAAUAGAAGAGAAGAAGAAGAAUGCUAUACGUUUGUUGGGUGUGUGAGCCGGGUCUGGAGAGGGUCGACGGAUGGCGGUGGUGGUGGCUACGAAAGCUGCUACUGCCCGGCCGAGGCAGGGGAGUGAUACGGCGGUCGGGGGCGGCUCAUCGCUGUUGUCCGUCCGGCGCAAGUAAAAGAGAGGAGGCGAUGGAAAUUAGGGGUUUCGGGCUGAGGUCGGCGGCGUCACGUGUGGCGGAGCGGUCGCCGGGAAUCGGUGGAUUUGGGAAAAGUGGACUAGGGCAUAGCAACGACUCUGCUGCAGCUGUUCGGCCGAGGACGGGCGAAGAGAGUAAGAUGAGGCGGCGGCUUGGAGGCUAUAGUCGCCGGAGGAGAAGAGGGAAGGCAGACUGCGGCGGACUCCGCUGUUUCGCCGGAGAGAGAGAGAGCCGCGGCGGUGGGUUCCGGCUGGAAAGGGGCGGAGUAUUUGUGUGUGUUCUGAUGAGGGAGAUCGAGGAAGAUGGAGGCGGCAGCCUUCCAGCCUUGAAUUCGCCGGAAGGCAGACUGCGGCGGCCGAGCUUUGAGAGAGUUUUUGGUCUGAACCGAGAGAGGCGCGAGGGAGAGAUGAGCUGUUUGUGUGUGCGUGUGUUUCUUUGAAGAGAGAGAAAGAGAUCUGAAAUUGUGAGGGAGAAGAGAGAGGGAUAAGAAACGUAGAGAGAGAGAGAUAAAUGGGCUUAAAUUUGGGCCUCCACUUUGGGCCAAAGUUUUAAAACAAACUAAAAUUGGGCUUUUGUAUGGGCCGAUUUUAUUGGUUUUAUUUUCUGUUGGGCCGAAAAUAUAGAAGGAAAGUGAAUGGGCUUAAGUCAGUUUGGGCUUGAGUUUUGGGGCUAUUUUUGUUGGGCUCGUUUAAAUGAUUUUAAUUAGUCUGGACUGAUCUUUUUUUAUAAACUGGGCUGCGUUUUAUUUAAUUGUUCGGGCUCUGAAUUAUUUUAUUGAGCCAAUAAAUUUAUUAGAUUUCACACUUUAUAAUUAGUUUAAUUAAUUUAUUUCAAAGACUAGUUUUCAUAAUAAUAUUAAAUUAUUAUUAUUAUGUGCAUAUUUUAAGUAAUUUCUUAUUAUAUGCCAAGCAUGACAUGAAUUUGCAUUAUAUUUUUGCAAUAAGAGUAUUUAAGAUUUAAUUGGUUUUAUUUAUAAUUCCAAUUAUUAAAGAAAGAUGAGUAAGAAUAUUGUUGGUGUUUUUAACUCAAGAGAAAUGUUUUCAAUUAUUUAUUCAUUAAAUUUUGAAAACCGACUAAGUGAAUCAUAGAAUGUUAAGCACUACACCAUGACUUAAGAUUAGAUUCAAGGAGACCUAUUAAGAAUAGAAUUUCUUGUAGGCUUUGUGACCAGGGGGACUAGCGCUGCUUUCCCAAGACAGGUUUUUAUGUGUAUGAUCUUCAGGCUUUGCCUAUCCAGGUUGAGCAGCUGAUGGAAUGGAAUGAUGUUGAGCGGGUGUUCUUUUGACAUUUCAAGAAAUGUAACCUUGAGUAUACAUCUUCAUAUGUAUAUCUCACACGUUUUUCCGCUGCAAACCACUUUGAUUAGAAUAACUCUAUGUUAUGAAGUUGUGACACGUGUUAUUGGGUAACCCACCUUAAUCAGUUCUCCUUUAUGUGUAUGUUUUAUAAGUAUCCAAAUGAUCAUAUAUGAUCCUAGCAUUUUAUCUAUGAGUGACAUUUCCAUA